AGGGCAAAUCCAAGGUUCAAAAAUCAGGGUUUUCCCCCCCUAAUCUUUCGGAAAUCUUUCCUCCUAGGGUUUUAGCAACCAACACAAGCAUCCAAACACAAUAUAAACACACUUUAGUUCCCUAAGCACAUUCAACCAAAUUAAACUUGUUUUAAGUUAAUGCAUCAGGGUGUGCUUAACAAAUAUGCUGUGCAAUGCCGAUGAUGUCAUGCUUCAAAUUUUUAGUAACCGUAACAUCGGGGAUGUUACAAUUAUCGACCGUCAACAGUUCCUCCAAGUUUAGCUUUUGCCAGUCCCUUGGCAAACCACGCCUAAGCAGUAUAUGUAUUUGGAUCAAAUGUUGCUACAAUGUUUUCAUUCUUUCCAAGUACACAUGCUCCCAAACAAAGAUUCUCCUCCGGAUUAGUUAAUACUUGCUCUAAUCUUCAAACUUACCCGUUUUAUCUUUAACCAUGGGGCUUUAUAGCUUUUGCAUGAGUCUUGAGUAAUCUGAAGAUAGAACAAUCAGGUAAAACACUGUCUCAAAUUCUUUGCAGAACCAUUAUUCUAGAGUUUUUAGAAUAAAACUCAGAGCUUAAUUGUAUGACACCCUCAAAUCUCUCCAUAUAUGUGGUAUUUAUGGCUCUCUCUUGAGGAAUUAAUGAUGUUAUACCUCCUAUAGCUAAAGAUAUAUAUAUAUAUAUAUAUGGUAGAGCUCAUAGGAGUGCUAAUAACAAGGGAAAGCAUGCUUGCAAUGCAUGUAUUUUAAAGUCAACUUAUGGAUCCACAGAGAAUCGAGGCAUACAAUCAAACCAAGGUGUGCAUGUGUAUGGAAUAUGAUGAAUAGGUUAAUUUGUGGUUAAUUUAUAUUUCUUGGGAAAUAACUCUCUAUUGGAACUUUUGAGGAAAGACAUGUGCUAUCUCUUUUUUUUCUUUUUUUUAAACAGGGAGGCGGGCAUCUAGUACUCAUUGUUUUAAUUAUUGGGACACUUGUCCAUCUUUUACUCCCUUUUAUUCUUUUAUAUUUUUGCAUAGCCACAUGUAUCCUUUAAAUACAAUAAAUGAUUAGAUAGUUAAUAACAAGAACUUAGAAUAUUAAAGACAAGAUUAUCCUACACGGUGAUUGUUGGUGUGUUACUACAGUGUAGGAGAAAAACAUGAUUGAUGAACAUGGAAUGGAAAUGAUUCCAAUUACUCCUAAUUUGGAAAUAAUGCAUAUAUGAACUGGAGUGUGUACGUGAUCUUUAUUUUAAAAGCAAGACAAGACUCUUAUAAGGUAUACUACAGAGGUUGACUGAACUCAACGCAAAGCAAGUAGCAUAAAUGUGCGAAAGUUUUCCUCACUCUAAAUGGAUAUUAUAUAUGGCUUUGGUAGGAAUUCAUGCUUUGUCAUACAAGAGCUCAUCAUGAAGGAUUUUGGGUUUUCAAAAUAAAUCUCUAGAACUUAGUAAUGCUAGGAAUAAGAUAAAUAGCAGCUCAGAUUUUCAAUGACGAUAUCAACCAACUACCUAGACUUAGCUCAACUUAUGUGUCCACAAAUUACAGGUUCAAAGUAAAUCUUCAAAUUAAAACAGUAAUGUCUAAAACUCGAGAAAAUCUAAUGUUGGAAUCUAGGUACUUGUAAAGAAUAGAGCAACUAUUCAUUAUUUCCAAGACAAAAUUUUAAUGUUCAUCAAAUUUUAUUUAGCUCUAGUUUAGACUGACUCUAAAAAUCUUCUAACACUUAACUGAUUAUAAACUCACAAAAAGACUCUAUGACUUGUGGACCUUCAUGUGCCCACAUAUUUUCUGUAUUUUUAUAACUAUGUAGACUCUAUAAUCGCUUAGGUAUAAUUUCCUGAUAACUAGGGGAUGCUCAUCCCCCAAGCUGGAUGUUUGCAAUACUUGAUGUUCAUGUCCUUUAGAGCGAGCUAGCCAGUAGCGAACCCGCUGGGUGCCACUAAU
rnacentral:lncRNA from 1 species